CAGAGAUCCAGGGAAGUGGCCUGGGAGGUAGGUCCCCAACUCUUCCUUCCCCCCGUCUUCACAGCCAUUUUCCAGGGAUGCCCAUUCCUGCUGGGGUAGCCAGCUGUGACCAGGUCAGUGUGGAAAGUGAGCCCUGGGAGACCUGAGGCCUGAGGCCCUGGGCUUCCGCUUGACCUGGCUGGGUCAGCCGUGGGAGGCAGAGCCUGGCUCUGUUUAUCCAGGCCGGACACUUCCGGAGCAGAUGGGCGCCUGUCAGAGCCACCAGCCAGGAACUGGGCUGACGUCCUCUCAUUGCCAAGUGGCAGUUCUGGGGCCAGCAUUGAACGCAAGGUGUCAGCAAGUCUCCUGCCAGAGGUCCUGACGGAGGGGCUGUUCCAGGCCAUGCUCCUGGCUUCCGGUGGUUGCCGGCAACCCUGUGCAUUCCCUGCUUGUAGAGAUGAGAAAAUGGAGGUACCAAAAAGUGGGCUCUGAACUGCAGAGCCUGGCUCCAGAGCCCUUGUAUUUGACUACUGGGAUCCACCGUUAUUCUCACAGCCGCGUUUCCCACAGGGCUGCUUUGUAUGGCCUCUUAGAAAAGUCCUGCCUGUCUCCACCAUCCAGACUAUGAUGUCCGUGAGGUCAGAGGAAAGGGAGAAUGUCUCACAUACAGAAAAUGCUUGAUCAACAUUGAUGGAAUCAUAAAUGGGCCUCAGCGGCACCUGUCCUGAGUCAGCAUCUCACAGAGGUUUUGCCAGCGCCAGCCACAUCUCCAGCAUGAAGGUGAUUGUCUGAGUGUGUCCAGUCCAGUUCCUGCCUUAAUAAAAAUCACUGCUGCAAGGGAGAGGGCUGCCAAGGCCCUGCCUCCCUCCAACCCCAUCCUAGCCUGAGUCUUAACCAUUCUUCCAAUCCAGUUCCACUUUGGGCCAGUGCUUAACCCAGGGUAGCACUUUUGAGCCUCGCAACUCUUGGGAGUGAGUUUUCAUCCUAACGUUCUCAGAUGAGGAAAUUGGGCCUCAAAGAGUCCACACAGGUGAGGCACCAUGGCUCAUGCCUAUAAUCCUAACACUUUGGGAGGCCAAGGCAGGAGGAAUGCUUGAGCCCAGGAGUUCAAGACCAGCCUGGGCAACAUGGUGACACCCUGUCUCUAUAAAAAAAUACAACAAUUAGGCAAACGUGGUGGCAUGCACCUGUCAUCCCAGCUACCUGGGAGGCUGAGGUGGGAGGAUUGCUUGAGCCCAGGAGGCUGAGGCUGCAGUGAGCCAUGAUCCUGCCAGUACACUCCAGCCUGGGUGACAGAACAAGACCCUGUCUCAAAAACAAAACAAAACAAAAACAAAAACAAAGCAUCCACACAACUAGCAGGUGAAAAACUGGGGUUCAAACUCAGGCCUAUAACACUAAGG
rnacentral:lncRNA from 1 species